rnacentral:rRNA from 1 species
UUAAGUUAUUAAGGGCGCACGGUGGAUGCCUUGGCACUAGAAGCCGAUGAAGGACGUUACUAACGACGAUAUGCUUUGGGGAGCUGUAAGUAAGCUUUGAUCCAGAGAUUUCCGAAUGGGGAAACCCAACAUGAGUUAUGUCAUGUUAUCGAUAUGUGAAUACAUAGCAUAUCAGAAGGCACACCCGGAGAACUGAAACAUCUUAGUACCCGGAGGAAGAGAAAGAAAAUUCGAUUCCCUUAGUAGCGGCGAGCGAAACGGGAAGAGCCCAAACCAACAAGCUUGCUUGUUGGGGUUGUAGGACACUCUAUACGGAGUUACAAAGGACGACAUUAGACGAAUCAUCUGGAAAGAUGAAUCAAAGAAGGUAAUAAUCCUGUAGUCGAAAAUGUUGUCUCUCUUGAGUGGAUCCUGAGUACGACGGAGCACGUGAAAUUCCGUCGGAAUCUGGGAGGACCAUCUCCUAAGGCUAAAUACUCUCUAGUGACCGAUAGUGAACCAGUACCGUGAGGGAAAGGUGAAAAGCACCCCGGAAGGGGAGUGAAAUAGAACCUGAAACCGUGUGCUUACAAGUAGUCAGAGCCCGUUAAUGGGUGAUGGCGUGCCUUUUGUAGAAUGAACCGGCGAGUUACGAUUUGAUGCAAGGUUAAGCAGUAAAUGUGGAGCCGUAGCGAAAGCGAGUCUGAAUAGGGCGUUUAGUAUUUGGUCGUAGACCCGAAACCAGGUGAUCUACCCUUGGUCAGGUUGAAGUUCAGGUAACACUGAAUGGAGGACCGAACCGACUUACGUUGAAAAGUGAGCGGAUGAACUGAGGGUAGCGGAGAAAUUCCAAUCGAACCUGGAGAUAGCUGGUUCUCUCCGAAAUAGCUUUAGGGCUAGCCUCAAGUGAUGAUUAUUGGAGGUAGAGCACUGUUUGGACGAGGGGCCCCUCUCGGGUUACCGAAUUCAGACAAACUCCGAAUGCCAAUUAAUUUAACUUGGGAGUCAGAACAUGGGUGAUAAGGUCCGUGUUCGAAAGGGAAACAGCCCAGACCACCAGCUAAGGUCCCAAAAUAUAUGUUAAGUGGAAAAGGAUGUGGCGUUGCCCAGACAACUAGGAUGUUGGCUUAGAAGCAGCCAUCAUUUAAAGAGUGCGUAAUAGCUCACUAGUCGAGUGACACUGCGCCGAAAAUGUACCGGGGCUAAACAUAUUACCGAAGCUGUGGAUUGUCCUUUGGACAAUGGUAGGAGAGCGUUCUAAGGGCGUUGAAGCAUGAUCGUAAGGACAUGUGGAGCGCUUAGAAGUGAGAAUGCCGGUGUGAGUAGCGAAAGACGGGUGAGAAUCCCGUCCACCGAUUGACUAAGGUUUCCAGAGGAAGGCUCGUCCGCUCUGGGUUAGUCGGGUCCUAAGCUGAGGCCGACAGGCGUAGGCGAUGGAUAACAGGUUGAUAUUCCUGUACCACCUAUAAUCGUUUUAAUCGAUGGGGGGACGCAGUAGGAUAGGCGAAGCGUGCGAUUGGAUUGCACGUCUAAGCAGUAAGGCUGAGUAUUAGGCAAAUCCGGUACUCGUUAAGGCUGAGCUGUGAUGGGGAGAAGACGUUGUGUCUUCGAGUCGUUGAUUUCACACUGCCGAGAAAAGCCUCUAGAUAGAAAAUAGGUGCCCGUACCGCAAACCGACACAGGUAGUCAAGAUGAGAAUUCUAAGGUGAGCGAGCGAACUCUCGUUAAGGAACUCGGCAAAAUGACCCCGUAACUUCGGGAGAAGGGGUGCUCUUUAGGGUUAACGCCCAGAAGAGCCGCAGUGAAUAGGCCCAAGCGACUGUUUAUCAAAAACACAGGUCUCUGCUAAACCGUAAGGUGAUGUAUAGGGGCUGACGCCUGCCCGGUGCUGGAAGGUUAAGAGGAGUGGUUAGCUUCUGCGAAGCUACGAAUCGAAGCCCCAGUAAACGGCGGCCGUAACUAUAACGGUCCUAAGGUAGCGAAAUUCCUUGUCGGGUAAGUUCCGACCCGCACGAAAGGCGUAACGAUUUGGGCACUGUCUCAACGAGAGACUCGGUGAAAUCAUAGUACCUGUGAAGAUGCAGGUUACCCGCGACAGGACGGAAAGACCCCGUGGAGCUUUACUGUAGCCUGAUAUUGAAAUUCGGCACAGCUUGUACAGGAUAGGUAGGAGCCUUUGAAACGUGAGCGCUAGCUUACGUGGAGGCGCUGGUGGGAUACUACCCUAGCUGUGUUGGCUUUCUAACCCGCACCACUUAUCGUGGUGGGAGACAGUGUCAGGCGGGCAGUUUGACUGGGGCGGUCGCCUCCUAAAAGGUAACGGAGGCGCUCAAAGGUUCCCUCAGAAUGGUUGGAAAUCAUUCAUAGAGUGUAAAGGCAUAAGGGAGCUUGACUGCGAGACCUACAAGUCGAGCAGGGUCGAAAGACGGACUUAGUGAUCCGGUGGUUCCGCAUGGAAGGGCCAUCGCUCAACGGAUAAAAGCUACCCCGGGGAUAACAGGCUUAUCUCCCCCAAGAGUUCACAUCGACGGGGAGGUUUGGCACCUCGAUGUCGGCUCAUCGCAUCCUGGGGCUGUAGUCGGUCCCAAGGGUUGGGCUGUUCGCCCAUUAAAGCGGUACGCGAGCUGGGUUCAGAACGUCGUGAGACAGUUCGGUCCCUAUCCGUCGUGGGCGUAGGAAAUUUGAGAGGAGCUGUCCUUAGUACGAGAGGACCGGGAUGGACAUACCUCUGGUGUACCAGUUGUCGUGCCAACGGCAUAGCUGGGUAGCUAUGUGUGGACGGGAUAAGUGCUGAAAGCAUCUAAGCAUGAAGCCCCCCUCAAGAUGAGAUUUCCCAACUUCGGUUAUAAGAUCCCUCAAAGAUGAUGAGGUUAAUAGGUUCGAGGUGGAAGCAUGGUGACAUGUGGAGCUGACGAAUACUAAUCGAUCGAAGACUUAAUCAA